CCUACGGGGGGCUGCAGUGGGGAAUAUUGCACAAUGGGCGCAAGCCUGAUGCAGCCAUGCCGCGUGUGUGAAGAAGGCCUUCGGGUUGUAAAGCACUUUCAGCGGGGAGGAAGGCGGUGAGGUUAAUAACCUCAUCGAUUGACGUUACCCGCAGAAGAAGCACCGGCUAACUCCGUGCCAGCAGCCGCGGUAAUACGGAGGGUGCAAGCGUUAAUCGGAAUUACUGGGCGUAAAGCGCACGCAGGCGGUCUGUCAAGUCGGAUGUGAAAUCCCCGGGCUCAACCUGGGAACUGUAUUCGAAACUGGCAGGCUAGAGUCUUGUAGAGGGGGGUAGAAUUCCAGGUGUAGCGGUGAAAUGCGUAGAGAUCUGGAGGAAUACCGGUGGCGAAGGCGGCCCCCUGGACAAAGACUGACGCUCAGGUGCGAAAGCGUGGGGAGCAAACAGGAUUAGAUACCCGAGUAGUC
rnacentral:rRNA from 1 species